AGAUGGCGACCGGCGCACGGGUGAGUAACACGUAUCCAACCUGCCGAUAACUCGGGGAUAGCCUUUCGAAAGAAAGAUUAAUACCCGAUGGCAUAAUAGAACCGCAUGGUUUGAUUAUUAAAGAAUUUCGGUUAUCGAUGGGGAUGCGUUCCAUUAGGCAGUUGGUGGGGUAACGGCCCACCAAACCUUCGAUGGAUAGGGGUUCUGAGAGGAAGGUCCCCCACAUUGGUACUGAGACACGGCCAA
rnacentral:rRNA from 1 species